rnacentral:lncRNA from 1 species
UCCCAGUAAACUACUCCCAAUAAACUCCAACCCAGGGAUGAGAACUGUGCACUUUAUCUGCAGUGAUGACUCCAGAAGACAAGAAAACAGCUAGCACCUCAAGACAAAUGGGUAGAAACUGCCAGAGUAACAUGGACAUUAUUUAGCAGCUAGCACCAGUUCCUCACAAAGGUUAUACUGGUUCACUGAGCCCAAGUAUUAGUAGGCUAUUUAAAUCUACAUUUGGAAAAACUUAGAAGACAUGGGUACGUUAUCUCCGAUACUCUUAUUAAUAUUUUUUCUAAACUUUGUUUUUAACUUUAACAACCUGAAACACUUCCUGCUUGUCCUGAGUAUGCAUAAGGAAUUUACCUGCCUUUUAAGUAAAGCAGCUAUGUUAUUACCCUC